rnacentral:rRNA from 1 species
UGGGGAAUUUUGGACAAUGGGCGAAAGCCUGAUCCAGCAAUGCCGCGUGUGUGAAGAAGGCCUUCGGGUUGUAAAGCACUUUUGUCCGGAAAGAAAUCCUUGGCUCUAAUACAGUCGGGGGAUGACGGUACCGGAAGAAUAAGCACCGGCUAACUACGUGCCAGCAGCCGCGGUAAUACGUAGGGUGCAAGCGUUAAUCGGAAUUACUGGGCGUAAAGCGUGCGCAGGCGGUUUGCUAAGACCGAUGUGAAAUCCCCGGGCUCAACCUGGGAACUGCAUUGGUGACUGGCAGGCUAGAGUAUGGCAGAGGGGGGUAGAAUUCCACGUGUAGCAGUGAAAUGCGUAGAGAUGUGGAGGAAUACCGAUGGCGAAGGCAGCCCCCUGGGUCAAUACUGACGCUCAUGCACGAAAGCGUGGGGAGCAAACAGGAUUAGAUACCCUGGUAGUCCACGCCCUAAAACGAUGUCAACUAGUUGUUGGGGAUUCAUUUCCUUAGUAACGUAGCUAACGCGUGAAGUUGACCGCCUGGGGAGUACGGUCGCAAGAUUAAAACUCAAAUGAAUUGACGGGGUCAUGCUGUUUCCU